AAGGAGUCUGUUUUUGUUGCAAGUCUUAUGGUUUUGAAACCAUGGGGCGGAAUGAAAGUGAGAGCUUUGAGCUUUGGUGGGACGGUAGAGAGCAAAACGCUCUACCCGCACCAUCGGCCGACCGUGCGUCUUUGACAAAAGGUUUGAGUAGAAGCAACACAAACGGGACCCGAAAGAUGGUGAUCUAAACUCGACUAGGGCGAAGGCAAAGGAAACUUUGCUGGAGGCUCGGAUCCGUUCUGAGGUGUAAGGGGUUAAUGUAUGUUUUUUGAACAAGAACGAGAAAUGGAGGAUCGAUGUGAUUCAAAAGGCAAAUCGAUGGUCGAAUAUUGGGUUUAGGGGCGAAAGACUAAUCGAACCAUCUAGUAGCUGGUUCCCUC
rnacentral:sRNA from 1 species